rnacentral:rRNA from 1 species
ACGGGAGGCAGCAGUGAGGAAUCUUCCACAAUGGGCGAAAGCCUGAUGGAGCAACGCCGCGUGAAGGAUGAAGGCCUUCGGGUUGUAAACUUCUUUUAUGAGUGAAGAAUAUGACGGUAACUCAUGAAUAAGCACCGGCUAACUACGUGCCAGCAGCCGCGGUCAUACGUAGGGUGCAAGCAUUAUCCGGAGUGACUGGGCGUAAAGAGUUGCGUAGGCGGUUUAGUAAGUGAAUAGUGAAACCUGGUGGCUCAACCAUACAGACUAUUAUUCAAACUGUUAAACUCGAGAGUGGUAGAGGUAACUGGAAUUUCUAGUGUAGGAGUGAAAUCCGUAGAUAUUAGAAGGAACACCAAUGGCGUAGGCAGGUUACUGGACCAUUUCUGACGCUAAGGCACGAAAGCGUGGGGAGCGAACUGGAUUAGAUACCCAGGUAGUCCACGCCGUAAACGAUGGAUACUAGCUGUUGGAGGUAUCGACCCCUUCAGUAGCGAAGCUAACGCGUUAAGUAUCCCGCCUGUGGAGUACGGCCGCAAGGCUAAAA